AGUGAACGCUGGCGGUAGGCCUAACACAUGCAAGUCGAACGGCAGCACAGUAAGAGCUUGCUCUUACGGGUGGCGAGUGGCGGACGGGUGAGGAAUACAUCGGAAUCUACUUUUUCGUGGGGGAUAACGUAGGGAAACUUACGCUAAUACCGCAUACGACCUACGGGUGAAAGCAGGGGAUCUUCGGACCUUGCGCGAUUGAAUGAGCCGAUGUCGGAUUAGCUAGUUGGCGGGGUAAAGGCCCACCAAGGCGACGAUCCGUAGCUGGUCUGAGAGGAUGAUCAGCCACACUGGAACUGAGACACGGUCCAGACUCCUAGGGGAGGCAGCAGUGGGGAAUAUUGGACAAGGGGCGCAAGCCUGAUCCAGCCAUACCGCGUGGGUGAAGAAGGCCUUCGGGUGGUAAAGCCCUUUUGUUGGGAAAGAAAAGCAGCAGGUUAAUACCCCGCUGUUCUGACGGUACCCAAAGAAUAAGCACCGGCUAACUUCGU
rnacentral:rRNA from 1 species